rnacentral:lncRNA from 1 species
UUUUAUCAGAUUAUUCCCUGUUGAAGACUAAUGAUAAUUUGUUGUAUAUUAUCUUAGUCAUAAUAUUCUUUACUGGGCUAGUUGAGCUCACCCUUUUGUUCCAUUUUUUUCUCAGGAGGUGAGAACAUAGCAGGAACUAGUCGGGGUACAGAGUGAUGGUUCUAGAAAGUUAUUUUAGCAGUCCUCACUAUUUUUAAAAUAGUGUAUCAAUAAUUGUAAUGAAG